rnacentral:rRNA from 1 species
CCUACGGGUGGCAGCAGUGAGGAAUAUUGGUCAAUGGCCGGAAGGCUGAACCAGCCAUGCCGCGUGAAGGUCAGUGCCCUAUGGGCGUUAAACUUCUUUUGUGCGGGAGCAAUAAUGGUCACGUGUGGCCAGAAGAGAUUACCGUACGAAUAAGCAUCGGCUAACUCCGUGCCAGCAGCCGCGGUAAUAAGGGGGAUGCAAGCGGUAUUCGGACUUAUUGGGUUUAAAGGGUGCGUAGGCUGGGAGGUAAGGUAGAGGUGAAAUGCCCCCGCUCAACGGGGUGAAGUGCCAUUGAUACUGGCUUGCUGGAAUGCGGAUGCCGUAGGAGGAAUGUGUGGUGUAGCGGUGAAAUGCAUAGAUAUCACACAGAACACCGAUUGCGAAGGCAUCUCACGAAUCCGCGAUUGACGCUGAUGCACGAAAGCGUGGGUAUCAAACAGGAUUAGAUACCCGUGUAGUC